rnacentral:rRNA from 1 species
GGGCCUACGGGUGGCUGCAGUGGGGAAUAUUGCACAAUGGGCGCAAGCCUGAUGCAGCCAUGCCGCGUGUAUGAAGAAGGCCUUCGGGUUGUAAAGUACUUUCAGCGGGGAGGAAGGUGUUGUGGUUAAUAACCACAGCAAUUGACGUUACCCGCAGAAGAAGCACCGGCUAACUCCGUGCCAGCAGCCGCGGUAAUACGGAGGGUGCAAGCGUUAAUCGGAAUUACUGGGCGUAAAGCGCACGCAGGCGGUCUGUCAAGUCGGAUGUGAAAUCCCCGGGCUCAACCUGGGAACUGCAUUCGAAGCUGGCAGGCUAGAGUCUUGUAGAGGGGGGUAGAAUUCCAGGUGUAGCGGUGAAAUGCGUAGAGAUCUGGAGGAAUACCGGUGGCGAAGGCGGCCCCCUGGACAAAGACUGACGCUCAGGUGCGAAAGCGUGGGGAGCAAACAGGAUUAGAUACCCCAGUAGUCC